rnacentral:rRNA from 1 species
AUUGAACGCUGGCGGCAUGCUUUACACAUGCAAGUCGAACGGUAACAGGGUGCUUGCACCGCUGACGAGUGGCGAACGGGUGAGUAAUGCGUCGGAACGUGCAGAGUAGUGGGGGAUAACGCAGCGAAAGUUGUGCUAAUACCGCAUACGUACUGAGGUAGAAAGUGGGGGACCUUCGGGCCUCACGCUAUUCGAGCGGCCGCCGUCUGAUUAGCUAAUUGGUGAGGUAAAGGCUCACCAAGGCGACGAUCAGUAGCGGGUCUGAGAGGAUGAUCCGCCACACUGGGACUGAGACACGGCCCAGACUCCUACGGGAGGCAGCAGUGGGGAAUUUUGGACAAUGGGCGCAAGCCUGAUCCAGCCAUGCCGCGUGUCUGAAGAAGGCCUUCGGGUUGUAAAGGACUUUUGUCCGGGAGCAAAUGCUGGUGGCUAACAUCCACCGGAGCUGAGAGUACCGGAAGAAUAAGCACCGGCUAACUACGUGCCAGCCGCCGCAGUAAAAC